UACGAAGGGUGCAAGCGUUACUCGGAAUUACUGGGCGUAAAGCGUGCGUAGGUGGUUUGUUAAGUCUGAUGUGAAAGCCCUGGGCUCAACCUGGGAAUGGCAUUGGAAACUGGCGACCUAGAGUGCGGUAGAGGGUAGUGGAAUUCCCGGUGUAGCAGUGAAAUGCGUAGAGAUCGGGAGGAACAUCUGUGGCGAAGGCGACUGCCUGGACCAGCACUGACACUGAGGCACGAAAGCGUGGGGAGCAAACAGG
rnacentral:rRNA from 1 species